GUAGGGAAUAUUGGGCAAUGGAUGCAAGUCUGACCCAGCCAUCCCGCGUGCCGGAAGAAGGCCCUCAGGGUUGUAAACGGCUUUUGACGGUGAAGAAUCGACAGGAUGCGUCCUGUUUUGACGGUAGCCGUUGAAUAAGCACCGGCUAACUCCGUGCCAGCAGCCGCGGUAAUACGGAGGGUGCGAGCGUUGUCCGGAUUUAUUGGGUUUAAAGGGUGCGUAGGCUGGAAGGUCAGUCAGCGGUGAAAAGCUGUCGCUUAACGAUAGUCUUGCCGCAGAUACUUCCUUUCUUGGAUGAGGAGGAGGCCACUGGAACGGAUGGUGUAGCGGUGAAAUGCAUAGAUAUCAUCCAGAACACCGAUUGCGAAGGCAGGUGGCUGUACCUUAAUCGACGCUGAUGCACGAAAGCAUGGGGAGCAAACAGGAUUAGAAACCCGGGUGCC
rnacentral:rRNA from 1 species